GACGAACGCUGGCGGCGUGCUUAACACAUGCAAGUCGAACGGAAAGGCCCUGCUUUUGUUGGGUGCUCGAGUGGCGAACGGGUGAGUAACACGUGAGUAACCUGCCCUUGACUUUGGUAUAACUUCAGGAAACUGGGGCUAAUACCGGAUAGGAGCUCCUGCUGCAUGGUGGGGGUUGGAAAGUUUCGGUGGUUGUGGAUGGACUCGCGGCUUAUCAGCUUGUUGGUGGGGUAGUGGCUUACCAAGGCUUUGACGGGUAGCCGGCCUGAUAGGGUGACCGGCCACAUUGGGACUGCGAUACGGCCCAGACUCCUACGGGAGGCAGCAGUGGAGAAUAUUGCACAAUGGGCGGAAGCCUGAUGCAGCAACGCCGCGUGCGGGAUGACGGCCUACGGGUUGUAAACCGCUUUCGCCUGUGACGAAGAGUGAGUGACGGUAAUGGGUAAAGAAGCACCGGCUAAAUACGUG
rnacentral:rRNA from 1 species